UAUAUAUAUAUAUAUAUAUCCAGAAAUAGCCUGUUCUUUCAGGUUAAAGUGGCUGUCCAGUAUAGCAUCACCUCUUGGAAAUAAGCCCCAAAAACUUACUUUUCUAGCAAACACUUUGUCUUCAAUAACUAAGCUACUGUUGUCACCAUUAGCAUCUCCUGAACAGUUUACACCACAUACUUGUGCACAUAGGAAAUAAAAUCAUCAAAGCAGAAACUGAACUGCUUGCUGGCUCCUUCUGCCUGCUGAAGAAAAAGGUUUAGACAUCCACAGAAAUACAGUGUGGCCGGUGUGUGGUGACUUGACUCUGUUUUAAGAGACCUCCUGCAGCGACAUCAUCCAGCAUCACAGCUCUAAAGCUUUGGCCUUUCCCUCCUCCGACACGAAGCAGUGCAGUGAUGUGACUAGCAGACACUUCUCAAUGUUUCUUUUCUCUUUAUCUGCUGAAAGCAGAUCUCAUAAGGAGACUGAAAAUCAUGAGGUUUUGAAGUGCUAUUCCUACAACUUUACCAAAGAACCUCAAAUUUGUGAACCAGGCUUUGACGGAUACAUUCUGCAGUCAAUCAGCUAUACUUGUGGAUUUGAGAAGGUUUGAAAAUUUGGCCCAAAAUAAAUGGUCUGUUCUUCUUGUAAUCUUAACUGUGGAGUUAGUGUAAUGAAUCAGCAAAGAAAAUUUAUUUUUCCAGCAGUUUAGCUAUUAAAUAUGACUUUCUGUGAGUCCUUGAGGCUGCCCAGAGCUUCCAACAAGUCAACCUCUGUGCCAUCUUCCCAGCCAUAAAAUUGUUUUCUGCUUCUUUGCCAGGCUGAAUGUUCUAGGAAAAGCCCAACAGACAAAUUACAGAUCGAUGAACAAAACAAUUAUUUUUCCCAAAUAGCCACAUGCCUGAAAGAAAAUCUUUCUUUAAAUAGCAUGGAUGUAUAAUUUGAAUUCAUUCAUAUUUUAUAGUUCCGGAAUAUUUGUUUACCUGAAACCCUGCAGCUUUCAGAACCAUAUUGUAAAGCAAUGAAAAAGACCAGCGGCAUUGGUGGCCUGGGCAUCUUCCUUUCUGAAGUUUCCUGGCUGACAGCAUGAAAAAAAAAAAGAGUCCUCUGUGUUUGAUGAAUGCAAGAACCAGGUUUGUAAGCAUGGAAAGAGCCUUUAGAAACACAAGUGAGGUUUUUAUCCCUGGCCCCAGUGUCAUCCAUCUUGGAAAGCUUUCUGUUUUUAUUAUUUUAAACAGGUCAGCAACAGUAAGAUGGGAAACUAGAUUUCAAAACAGAUGUCUCUGCAGCGCUUCAUCAAAACAUUGUAUGAUUUCAGACGGAAAUUUAAUAUUGGAUGCCUUGCACAUUACCUAACCUGUUGGGGAUAUGAACCCCCAGCCUCUGAAACAGCAGCACCCCUAUUUCAGCAGCCGUGCUGCUUUGUCCCAUGCCAGCUCAUCACACAGAGGCUGGAUGAGGCUCCAAGCACCCUAAUCUAGCUGUAGGUGUCUCUGUUCAUUGCAGGGGAGUUGGGAUAGAUGACUUUUAAAGGCCCCUUCCAACUCAAAUGAUUUCAUGGCUCACCACACACCUCCAGCACCCAGCUCUUGCAGGUUGGGGCUGGGGGUCUCUCCACUUUACUGCUCCCCACAGGGCACAGAUUUUGGUCCCCAACACCAUGGCUAGUCCCUUCACAUCUGGGGUACAGCCCAGUAGCUGUUUUUCUCUCUCCUGUGCCUGUGGAUGGCAGAAGCACACUCUGGCCCCCCAUAGCACUGCAUGCCGACGCUCUGUCUCUAGGAAAGUAAUUUGGGAAGAACAACAAAGACUUCUUCAGAGAACUUCCUUGCAGAGAAGGUUGUGGUUGUCUUGCUAGCUCUCAAAAUUAAAACUACGUUUCAGUCAAAAAUGCCUAUUCAGACUGACAUCAAAGGGAAAAACGUGAGCAGGUCAAGGAGUUUAAUUUCCACGGCACUCGUGAUUCACAUGUAGGGCUCGGUAAUGACUUACUGCCCACUGGCAAAAGAAAACUGUGAAUGAAGAGAGAAGUGAGGCAGACGAAUGGCGCGGUGCCACUUUCAGCCAGCAGUGCAGUGCUGUGGCCCAGCUCUUCAUCUGCAGCAGCCUUGGUGAGGAUGGCAGAGAUGCCCCUGCCCAAGGGUGUCACCCCAGGUGCCCCCCGGUGUGCUGGUGCCUUCACUCCCUGUCACCCUCUAGAGAGCAGGUUCCUUUCAGACACCUCAAGCCAGAAACAUUCGGGCCCUUCUGAAAAGCUGGGUCUCAGGCUGUGCAUCUCAAACCCUGCUCUCAUACCAGCAUUUAAACCUUUAGAUAUCUCCAGUUAAGGUGAAGGACUAUGUCUCAAGGUAUGAAGGCGGGAGGUAUGUAAACCUUUUAACAGUGUCUGUAUGUUCUCCUACUACUCCUUAUUUGCUUUUCUCAUGGGACGAUCCAACAAGGCAUUACAGGCUGUUGAUAAAUAGAUUUUCAGCCCAUUUCGUUUAACCAUUACUGCAUUUCCAUAUCAAAGAUUUUACACUUGGCAUGCCCGAGCCUAUUUUAUUUGUAAUCUUUUCUCAAAUGAGAAGUUUGGAAUGUUUUUUCAUUAUGUGUUUCAUCUGCAGCACACUGCCUUGGUGUUAUUUUUGAGAUGAGAUCUUUUACUCUACCUCGAGUCAUUCUACAACUCGUCGGCUUUUAUUUAUUCUGGCCUCCCAAUCUAACAGAAUUUCUGUGUUGAAACUUGUUGCUAUUUUUUUCCAGGGAUACACCGUACGAUGUUAAGCCUGUGCUGUGUAUCAAAGUGCAAAUAUAAACUAGUUGAUAGUCUCUGGUCACACCCUGGUAGGUGUGGCAGUUGGGAAUUUUUCACUUUCUGGCUGGAGAUCAGAAUGUGCUUAGCAUGGUUCCCCAUCCAGCAUCUUGGUCGGGAGGGGACUGGCUGCCUUCUGCAUGCAUGUUGUUUGAAGGGUUGGGAGCCACAUAGUUGUACCACUUCCAAAAGCAGAUUUUUACUUGUUUGGCUAUAUUUAGAGCUGCAAUCGGGAGAUCUGAGGGUAUGAUAAUCCAGUGCCUCACUGUCUUUCUCCUUCCUCUCGUUCUUUCUCCCUGUCACUUUAGGGGUGAGAGGAUGGACCAGCAUAGCUCUAGUGUCAGCCUCCAGCAUGGUGCAGAACUGCGCUACUCCAAGAGAAACUCCAAGGAGGAAGUGUGACUCAGAGAGCUGCAAUUCCUUCCACGGUUCCUCCUUGCUCCAGCCGGGGAAGUAAGUUACUUCAAUAUUUGUGCUGCUAGAGUACAGCUUGCUUCCGCCCCGCUGCUUGCAAGCCCCAGCUUGCAGAACGCAGAGAGAGAAUGCUCUGAGCCAGAACCUGCAAAAGGUGGCUUGCCUCCUUCUGCUCCUUGGCUGCCCAUGUGAGACAGGGACCAGUCCUGCCCUAGAUGAGGUUUCACUGCAAGGAGUCACCUCAAAGCCAUCUGCCUAAACUGGCCUUCCAGUCAUUCUGCAGAGAUGCACACCGCUGGCUGUCUUGUCAGGCAUCAUUUACAUUAAUAUCACAAACAGCACACUACCUGUGAGACGACUUCACGCUGUCUUUUUCUACCUAGAUUGCCCACUUUUCUGCUCCAUUUUCAUAGUCUUUCGUACAAUUAGACAAUCCCUAUCAGAGUAAUGCACAGCUCACCAGACACUUGCCUCUCAGAUAAUCUAUUUCCCACUGACUUAUUUUCCAUCACAAUUAUUCAUUAUUAUACCCAGAGACUGGCAAAGGAUUUGCAGGUAAUAAUUCCCUUGCCAAAACAAAAACGCUAAUAAGGGUAUUUGUAGGGAAACAUUCAUAAUCAGUGUUUCUUCAUUUGGAGUGCAAUCGUAAGGCCCAAGAACACCAACUGGUAUGUGACUUAUUUGCAAACGAUACAAAGGACUCCUCACCUGCCUCACAUACUGCUUAGCAGCAACACACUUUGGAAAACCAUAUCAAGUUCAUAGCUUUUUUUACACACACACACACACACACACACACACACACACACACCUCUUCAUGCAGAAAUACUGCACUACAAGGAGACCUUUCACUGGGGACACUUUAAAGACAUUCUGAUAUGACAGCCAAAGGUUGUGUUAACUGAGACAGUGUCAAACAAGAGUAGAUGAUGAUGAAUACUUCAGUGAUGCACAGGUCUGAAAACUAAAAAAGGUCAGAAAAACAAGAGAGGACAAAACUCAUCCAUAAGCACAUCAACUAGAUGGUCCAGGUAGGAAUAAAACCACCACGCCUGUUGCUGUACCCUCCAAGGUUACCAGGGAGAGGUUUUCAGGAAGUAUUUUGCAGUUAAAAAAAAAAAGAAGAGUAAGAAUCAACUUGAGAAAAUAGGUCCGUUCCUCACAUGUUCAGCAGCACAGAAAUGCACACUCAUAUACACAAUCAUACUUCCCGCCUGAGUGAUAGCAGUCUCCAAAAUAGCCCCUGAAAGAAGAUUCAGGCUAUUGGACCAGCUGCUGCUUUCAGUGAAGUGGUCUGAACAUAGGUCUGAAUCCCACUCUACGUGGAAUUUUGCAUACAAACAUGUAUAAAGCUCAUCCUUGUGUAAGAAGAUUUGAAUGGCACCAGUGCUAAUUCAGCUGUCCACCUGGCAAGCAUCUAGAGAGACACACACAGAAAGAGAAGCACUACUCAUUUGAGUCUUCACUCCUAGACUGGAAAUAACUGAUGUAAGUGAAGCGUGCAGUGCAAGUGUGCAAAAGUUACUUUCAUUUUGCACCAGUAUAUUCAGGAAUUUUAAAUAAGCUCAGUUAAAAUGAUCAGUUGAACUACUUUGACAGUGUUGUAAGAAAUCCUUAUGUGGCUAAUUCUUAAAUGUCAUCAGACAGCAGACCAAUUGUGCUCAAGCGCACAUUGUUACCCCAGGUAGCAGAUAACUUCCUGUGUUGAAACGAUGGCUUGAGAGUGAUAUACUUGCAGACAAGGAAAUAUCAUCUUCCAGUCCUGCUGUGUCUUAAAGUGAUCUACGAGAACUCUUUCUAGCUCGGUGCCUGUGUUUAGCCAAGGUAUUAGACGCAUUCAGGAUGUAUUAAACUCAUACACCUUCUAAAUUACAUGAUACAUGGAGUUCACACAGCUAGCUAAUUCAGUCAGAUGUGUAGUGCUAACAAUAACCAAAUAUAUCCAAUGUUACUUGUCUAGCUAUGGAAUAAAUAUGCUUGAUGGUGCUUAAUUAUACAGAUAUGUAAUGGGCACCUUCACCGCUUUCUAUAGUUAAAAUCCUGUUCCCAAUGCUUAGUAAUAUGGAACAACACUUUUGAAGUGGAGGAAUACUUUGGAAUAAAAAUCAUUCCUAUUUCACACUUUGGCACUCUGAACACAUAAUCCAAAAAUAGGGGAACGGAACCUUCAGCGGAUCAAAUCACGCACAGAACAGAAGUAUACUGGAAAUAAUUCCAUAAAGUCAACUCCCAGGACAAUGGGAUCGUCCCCAGUAAGUACUGCUUCAGCAACACUGGCUGAAUGAUUCACUGUGAGCAAUUCAGUGAAAAUAUCAGUGUUUUGUACAGCCUUCCUUUUUCUUUUUCUCCACGUUCCUCUUUCUCUUCCUCAUCUUCUUUUUAACCUUUUCUACCUCCCACCUUCUGUUGCCGCACAUGCAAGACCUAAGGAGCUAAAUGAACACAUACACAAGAAACAGAUGACAGAGCAGUUUGGCAGAAUGAAACAACCCAUGAGUAUAGAAGAUGGUAAAACAUCAAUAAUCAGUAUUGACAUCAGACAUUAUCAAAGAAAGGGUUUAUGCCCUGCAUUGUUUCAGUUCCUGAGAAUGCCUCUUGCCUUCCACAUUGUAAAAUAUAGCCCAAACAAAAUGCAGCUAAGAAAAAGGGAAAAUUCUUCUCUACAUAGGAUUUAAUACUGCACCCAUCACUGCAGUAUCUGAGAGCAAGAUAUUCUAUUGCGGGCGUGGUGCAAAGUUCAUGGAAUAUCAAGUGUUGGUAAUCUGUGCUCUGAGCCUGUGAAUGUACGUGCAAAUGGAUCAGAUCCACAGCUGGCAUCUGUCUGGCUCCAGAUCUGGUCCAGUAAGUUUCUAAAGAGUAGUUCAAGACAGACCAUUGAAAACUUCCAAAGAAAGUCCCAGAGCACAUGACAGAAAUGGCCAAGUGGGACAGCACAGUAGAAGAAAGAAAUCCUGUGGGUUCAUUUCUUUAAAGCAUAAAAGUCAUUAAUCAUUUCUAUUCCUUUCCAUUCAAAACAGCUGCCUGCCCACAUUUGCUAAGUAACUGCUUUCCUAACCACACAGAAACUAGGCUGCGGGCCCCAGAAUGCUCAUGCUUCCAGAUAUUAAUAAAUAUUUCCCUCUUUCACUGUGUCAAUGAGAGCACAUUAGCAUCCUCAGCAUCUGGUUUUAGUCGUGAAAUAAUAUGUUAAUGUCUCCACACUUGGCGAAUUCCUUCCAAAAAAAAUCCUUCUUAGUGCUUAUCUUUCAGCUGAGGCUUCAGAAGCUCAAAAGCGUGGCUUGAAAACCUCAGUGGCCUUCUACCUGUGAUGCAGGACAGCACUCUUUGUCAAGUUAGAAAUGAUCUCUUUGAUCACACUCAUUUGUUUGUCUCCUCAUAGAGCUGAGUUACGCUUCCCACGUGAGCCCUUUGCUUCAAAAAGUCCACUGUCAUCCCUACAGGCUACUGCAAUUAGUGAAAUGCCAGCCAGCAGGUGGAGACGCAUGAAAGCAAUCUCAAUUCAUAGACAGGCUGCUUUGACAUUUCAUUCCCAUAGCCCUGGCCAAGCACUAGAGCGGGCCAGAGCCAGAGAAUAUAGCUAUUGGUUUCAUGGAAAAGUUCAGAAUUAAAAUCUUGGCUGGCUGACAAACAUGUGACAGAGCAGCUUCUCCAGCAUGACUGCUGCACACAAAGCCGCACUGGCGAGCCGUCCCGGCAGCACCUUUCAUGUACAACGCAGGGAGGGGAGCCCGCUGCUGCCUUCCUCCUGACCUCGCCUCAUUCACUCUGCUCAGCAGUGCCGAGCUGUCAGCAUCAGCUGUGCCGAGCCAUACGAGGGGCCACGCAUGCCAUGCCUUGUGUGCUCACGUUUGGCCUCGUGCCGGGCGAGGGUGGGCUCUGGUGGCUCAGCACCCAGAUGCGUUCCCACCUAUCUGCUGUGGAAGCUCAGCCCGAGAUGGCACAAAACAGCUUCGCUUCCUCUGCUCCGCUCCGAACUCCUCCCACCCAGCGCUUCCUCUUUCAGAGUGGAAACAUCAUUGUAAUAGCUAUUUCUGAAACGUCCCUGCCAAAAAUCAGGAAGCACAGAGGAAUACUUCAGGGCGAGGAGGGGGAAAAGGUAUCUCGCGAGUUAUUUCGGGAGUAGGGAAUUUGUUUACAUUAGUUUGGGAGGAAAGCCGAGGCUAAUCCCGUGUUGUCUUCAGACCAAUCAUUACGUUUCCAGCUCAAGUCUCUCCGUGCUUUAGGAACUAAACUCUCUAUGCUUUUAGAGACGUGGUUUAACGGGCAAUACUGGUGGCAUGUGGGUGGUUGGACUAGAGGAUCUGAGAGGUCUUCUCCAACCUUAAUGAUUGUAUGAACUGUAAGAAGCUGCAGAAGUGGGUCUGCAGAACACCACACGUGAAUGAGUCAUCUCCAGUGGAAGUACGCCUGUGAUGGGAGCUGUGCCUAAAUGCUGUGCUGAAGUAAAGCACGUGCAUGGAGAUGAAGAAAGAAGGAAGGAGACUGUGUAAAAUUAAUAAAGCUUAGAAUCUCAGCAAAAAUCUGCAAGCGCUUUGAAUGAUUUCAGUGUUUGAACACAGCAUACAAACAAACAGCAUUCAUCAUGAAGAUACUGAAAACAGUGACCCCCUCCGCAGGUUCGGACCCCUCAACACUGUAAUAAUCUGUGGUGAGUUAUCAGAGCUCCCUUGAAUGAGAAGGACGCUUCAAACCUUGCAAAAAAAAAAAAAUCAACUUCAGUGCUUCUAAAGAAAUGCAUUUUACAGCUUUUUCCACUCUUUUGGAUUCUUCUCCUCCCCCUUCUACCUCUCUUGCACUCUUCUCCUUGGAGAGCAGAGUUUAACAUGCCAUUGAGGAGAUAGCCCGCAUGCAAAGUCCCUCAAACAUAAACACACUUAAAGAACAGAUUCAUCACAGCAGGCUUCCAAAUGUGGAAACCACAUUCCAUCUGCACCCUUAUCCAAUGGUCAUUAGCUUAGAUCUUGAAUGGACAUUACUUAAAGCAAAGAUUAUAAAAACAUACAUACUGCUCAACAGUGAUUCAUCAGCUUCCAAGCUCUGCAAUUGAGCUCAGAGUGACUCAGGCUGGGGACUUCUGGAAUGUGCUGCAGGAAUUUGCUGCACUGAGUCUGCAAAGCUGCCUUCAGAUGGUUUCUCUGGCAACUCAGGACAUUUCAUUGAACUCAGGUUUGCAGCACUGUAACAUCAGUGACUCCUGUGCUGCCAGCUCUGCAGAGGGCUCAGCACCCACAUCAGCACACUGCUCAGGAGCUACGGAUGACAAUGGUCUCACAUACACAGCCCGGCGAUAAGGCAAGUUAUCACCACUAUUCCUUGACCUAUUUUUUAGCUUGUAAAUGACUGGGCCUAAACUCUCUGCCACAAACUGAAGACAUUGUUUAAUCUAUUGCAUAGGAUUGCCUUGAAACAGCAUUUAUCUGAGGUGACUCACAGAUAGUUCUGAUGACAGAUGCUUUCUCUGGUUUUCUGCAUGCGUGAACAUAUGUAACUCUGUAUGUAUAUACACACACACACAAACAUGCAGUGAUUCACUUUCACAAAACACCCUGUGGAUUCCUUCUACCCUUUGAGGUCUAUUUUUUUAUUUUUAAGAAUCACUGUUAAUUAAGCUAAAGUUACUGAGACGGGGAAAAAAAGUUAGCAAGGUUACUCUCUAUGGAGCCACCAAAGGCAUUAGGAAUAACAGACAGCUUAUUAUUUAGGGCAACAGCGUAAGGGUGCAAAAGGAGAAUUGAAUUCAAGCACUGAACUCUAUGGACACAUGUAUUGGUAUAUUCUCAGUAGGCUGCUUACUUCUACAUGAUGUUUCGGUUCUGAUGUUGUUGUUUUUAAGCAUAAGGACAAUGCUUGACAGCCUUUUAAGAGGAUAACGAUAAUAAUAAAUCUAUGAAUAAGCACAUUCUGCUGACACAAUAGUGUUGAUGAUUUGCUCAGAACUGACGCAGUUCACAUCCCUUAGCCAGACCUUGCUAUUGGACAUGAUUUUGGUCUCUGCCUUAAUCAAUACUGUAUUGCAGAUGUCUCAAAAGGCUGGUCUCUGUGGCACCUACUUGAACCCUAUGAGGAUCUAAUUCCAGUUACAGCAAUACAAUUGAAGUAAACUAAAGACAUAAUCCCAGAAAAACAAUUGGGUUAAAACACCAAAAUACUUACAGCAUUGUAUUUACACCUAUUAGACGCAUUAAAGAAGCAAUAAGCAUUUGCAGAAGUAUCCCUUUGAAAGGUAUUUUGAAAGCACCUAACUUGGCUACAGGCUCAACAGCGAGCUGUGAAUAUUUGACAUCUACUUCCAUUAAGUACCACUGAGGUGUUUAUUCACUGCAAAGUAAAGUUUGCUAUAAAUUUCAUUCAACCUGAAGUGCAAUUGCGUGUGUUUGCAGAUCCUUCUAUUUCAUCCUUAAGAGUUUCACAGGUCACAAGGAUGCAUCUUGUACCUGUAUACUAAUGACAACAUUUGGUUUAUGUUAUAAGCUUCUCUUCCCACAAGUACUUGGUGGUGUCGUAUAGAAUGCACGUUCCCAUAAUCAUUUCAUAUGUUUUCAGUCUUAAAAAUACAGUUUAUAUAAUGAAAAUACAAUAUAAUUAUACACAUGAGAGUUCUGGUUUGGAAGAGGUUCAGCAGAAUUCUUUGAUAAAACAAGUCCCCCAACCACAAAAGCUACAUACAGUGAUUUGACAGUCAAACAUAUAUAAUCACUUAUGCUAAAUUAAAGGCAGCGUCACCACGUUAGAAGCAGCACAUUUAAAUCCCUUAUGUCAGUUUUGGCCAACAAGUGACAAAUGCUGCAGAUCAGACUAAACGCAUCCUUGAAUAAACUUGGAGCAGCUUUUGAAAUAGGUGCUUAGCAUGAACAGUUAUAGACAGAAAUGAGAGUGCAGGGGAUAUGCUUAUACAAAGUUAUUUUAUGAUGAUACUAAUUGAGCUCCUUUAUACAGCAUCAACAGCUCAGACCCUUUUUUUCCACACCAAUUUCUAGCACUUGGAAAUGGACAGUAUGAGGGUACAAAGAGCAGAAGUUCAUCCAAAAUUAUAACGUUAGAAAGGUUAGUGAAGAUAAACUCCUUAAUGUUUAGGUAGGAUUUUCCAUUUGCUGCCCCUUCCAGUACCUCUCCCCAGAACACACAAACCCAUUUUCUCUCUACCAAAAGCGUCUGCUUAGAGUUCAUGGACAAGAACCUCCGUAGAUACCAAGUUUUGUAUUUCCACUGAGAGUAGCAGGAUGAUGCUGAUUUACACCAGAUAUGGAUCUGGUUCGCAGCAUGUUCCAGUGUGAAUUCACAGAGCAUGGAGUAAUGUGAAACAAGGAAGUGACUUUUGUGAAAAGCAUUUUGGAAAGGAAAACCAAAAAUGAUGGAUGUACCACUGGGGCAGAGGGAGUGGAGCCUGCCUCAAAGAGGACCUUGUAGAGCUGCCAACCUUCCCACAAAAUGUGCUGCUGCUCUCAGAAAGAAGGGGGAGGUUUCCCCGGGACAAAUGCAGCCACACCAAGCACCCUAAUAACUACUCUGUAGAUAUUUUUAUGUACUAUCACAUCAAAACCAGGCUGAACUUCCAAAACAUUUGAAUUCAACCCAUCACUGAUUAAUGGAAGGAGGAGAAGGAGAAUGGGUGGGAAGAAUAGUCAUUGUGAACUGCCAUAACACUGGGCAGUAAGCCAUGCUAUUCAACAAAUGAGACAAUACAUUAAAAAAUAAAACUUUGUUUUCAGGGACCUUCUAUAUAUAUCAAGAGCUUGAUUCACAGACCACUAAAGUUAGUGGGAAUCUUUCCUUUAACCAGCUACUUACUGAUCAAGCAGCUACAAAAGAAGAGUUAAUACAGUUUUGCACUUGCUCAUUAUCUCAAUAUUAGAAAGUUACAAGGUUGAAUACAACAUCAACAGUUAGCAACUGACUGUAACUACUCAGAACACACCAUCAUUUUGCCCACUUGUAUGUACUGCAUUUUACUGUGGAAGCUGUUAGCAUGAACCAACAUAUGGAGAUUAAGAUUUAACAGAGGACAGAAAACAUGAACACUUACAAGAAAUAAUAGUUAACAAUUUACGUUCCAUCUGGCAUUUAAAGCUCUACAAGCAGUAUUAUUUGAAGGAAAAAAAACUGAUUUACUGAUUUUCAAAUACUGCAUACCUUUUUAUAGCUUCUUUCUGUUUCUUUGCCCUCUGGAAGCAAUUAGUUCAAUCAUAUUAUAGUUCUUAGAUCUUCAGCUAUGUGACUGACCAUACUACCAUUUCAGUUAAAUAUGCAGCAGAGCCACUAGCCCUUUGUGAGGAAAAGGAUUGUUCAUUUCAAUAGGAGUUUAGAGUGAGGAUAGUAAAUCAUCUUCUUCCUGAUCCAGAUGUGCUAACAGAGGAGGUGACCUUCCUCCUUUUAUCAUUACUUUGCUGGAGGUCUUGCCCCCACCAGUCUGCUGACAGAAAAGGCAGGCAGUAUCAGGAUUUCCAAGUUACAUGAGACUUAUCUGUGCUAAGUUAAAUUCUUGACCUAAUUCUCAAUCAGGAAAAUUAGUUUCUCCUGAGGUCCAUAAUCACUUUUACUAAAGUCAGCUCAUCAAGAAAGGCUGAAUUGUGAGGAUACCUAGGGAGAGCAUGGUGUUCUCAAAGGGAAGAAGAGUAGCAGCCCACCCAAGACACAUUUUGAGACUCAAGGAAUGCUAAACAAUAUAAGAUCACUCAAAACAUCCAGGCAGUAUGACAUACAAGACCUUUAAAUGAGGUAAACAUAAUUUCUUUAAAGGCUGCCACGUAACAGAUGCUCAGAUUGAAAUAACCUAGCUGGUUUUGACAAAACUGCAUUAGAAAGCCUUUGCCUACAACGCCCUGCUGAUGGGUAGGUUAAAGGAGUAACUUUAGUAACAGAUAGAAGCUUUCUUCAUGUAGGAUGUUUUCUAUCAAUAGCCUUAAUGUUAGCCAUUGAAGUUAAUGAAAACAUUUAUCUCUCUUACUCAUUAAGUACAUUUUGAUGUAACAUUUUUAGCCACGUGAGGCACAGUGCAGUUAAAGGGUUAGGUUCCCAUCAUAAAGUCAUCAAAAACACAUAGAAAAUAAGUAACUUGCAUAAUGGAAUACCAGGUUCUAACACAACGCACAGCAAUGACUGUAUAGUAGCAAAGUCCUAGACUGCAACUAGUAAGGAUAUGCUCAAAUGCAGCGACUAUGAAUGCAGAAAGAAAACAGAAAGACUCUACUCACCCUUAGAAGGCCACAGGCAUCUCUAGCAAAAUAGCAUUGCCUCCACUGCCAACCCAUAAAUGAGGUCUGGGAAGGGGCAUUGUGUGCACCUGAGCUCCCCUGGGUUGGCCCUGCCUUCCCACCAGGUGCUCAAUCACUGCUUCAGGCUGUGACUUAGCAUUUCCACUACACAGGUGAAAUUGGUGGCUUUUCCACAUACUCUUAAUUUGUGAUAGAUAGUGCUUAGAAAUAUUCAGCAAAAUUCUCUUUAUCAGGGUUGAACAUUACAUAAAAUGCAACCGUUUUCCAAAACAGUUUAAUGUCACGAGACUGCAUUUCCGUUAUAUGAAGGCCUUCCCUCAUGUAUCUGAAAUGUAUCCUAGAGCAUUCUCCUACCUUUAGGAAGUGUAAAACUGCAGCUAUACUAAUUCUACCAGCUCAUAUUUUCUCCUCAUGUGUUUGGCACUUGUUAAUAGAAAAAAAAAAAAAAGAUAUUUAGUGCUACUAAGAAUCAGAACUAAAUACUCUUCUGGAGCAGAAGUUUUUGUUCUGGAGCAGUUCCACCAAAGCACAAUUCAGGUCUUUCUGCAGUUCAGGAAGAGCUUGAAUCACUUUUUCCCUUCCUCUUGUAUAUAAAUUCAAGCAUAUUUAAUAUCCUGGACACCUCUACUUAGUAGUGUUGACAGAAAGUUGCACUGCUGACAUUAAGAGAUCAGCUGACAGUGUGAAGUUAAAUGGCAGGAGCACAUUAAGAUGGCAUGAAAGUUACUGUAUACAGAUACACCAGUAAACAAAACAAAACAACAACAACAAAAAACAAAUUGUUCUAAGCAUACUUAAUGUAAGCAUCCAAAGGGUUAUGUCUGUUUUCCAAUGAAGAAACAUCAGGUUCAGAAAUUUCAGUAUAGAAAAUAGGAAUGCUUCGCAUCUCAUCCAGUUCUACACUCAUCUCUCCUCGAAACAUUUCAGACGUGUGGUCUGGUAUGGUAUCACUUUAUAGUCUUCAUACCUGGUGAGAAUUUUUCUUUUAAGAUGAGUUUUCUAGGUUUCUGUUUUGUUUUGUUUUGUAUUUUAAAGGCUUAUUUCCCCCCUUUCUUGCUGGGGAAUAAAGGUAUAACGUGUAAGUUUGACCUUGUUUGAAGCCUGCUGCAGCUCCUCAUCCAAAGGCCAGUACAAAGGCACUCAUAACAUCCAGCUGGCACUUUUUAUUUGACUCAGGAAAAUAUGUGAGCAAAUAUUGAAGUUUAAAUAUAAACUUGCUAAUACUGGGGUGCAUUCCAUAGCCAGGAAAGGCACAAAUAAUGCCUAGAAAAAGUAGAUGUCUGGAUGUCUGUCCCUCACAAGAUGAAAUUUUCAAGGCAUUGGCAUGUAUGUGGCUGAACAUGUAACACCUAGUGACAAAGGUAGUUCCUUCAAACCCAGCAUAGUUCCACUGUGGUGCUUCAGCAAGGCCUCCGCAUCAUGGUCCUAGGAAGAAUAUCGAACCACUGAGUGUACAGUCACUUGUCAAGGUGACACAAGCUACUAAUUCUGAGUAACUACAUGUGUGUCUGCUACAUGCUCAGCCCAACUGAACUUCCAGUCAUCAAGAAGUCUUCUCCAUCUGCUCUGUCAAUUCCUUUUGACUUAUCUUUUUUUCAAAAGCACCGAUUAUGCGCAAAUAAAAUGAGUCUUAUUCUUCAGGUCCAUUAAUUAUUACAUUCCAUUUACUUUUUCUGUUUACUUUUUCCCUUCUUUAUGGAAGCUAUUGAAGGUCCGAUGAUUCAGAAUGCUCUGGGAACACUAUGUGGCUUUCCUUCUUGUUUGCCCAUUGUAACGGAGCUCAUUUUUCAGUGGAGGUUUCCCAUUAUUUCCAGGAAAAAUGUGGUCAAACCCAUGUACUCCCAAACCUUUUGAUCUCCUGAAUCCUCUUCAUAUCCCAGAUAAAAAAGUCAGUGAUUAAGACAGAGUUCCUAAAAGGACACAUAGUCAGGCUUCCCUUUGACCAAAAUGGUUUCCCAGUGAAUCAAACCUUUCUCAGCUCAGGGGGGGCUCGACAAUAGACCCUGAAAAGAUGGAUAGAGCAAUUGUCCUGCUUAGUGAUCCACGAAAGGAAAGGGGUCCUUAGUGAAGGGAGACCUACACUAAGUCUGACCUGACACUGCAGGAGUAAGACAAUGAAAGGUCAAGGAGACUAACGAGAGGAAAAAUGCAGACAAUGGGUGCCACAGCUAGCACACAGCUCCUGCCACGCAGACUAUGGGGCAGCAACGCUAACUGCCUCAGACAUGUGAAGGGGAAGUGAAGCGGAAAGAACUUGAAGUUUCCUUCUUAAGAAUUGUGGCCCAGCAUCUUCAGGAUUUACCCAGGCCUCACAGAGAGGUCAAAGCGACGCAGCUAGACCUGAGAUGAAUGAAAAAUAAAGAUUAUCUAAUUGGGGAGGACAAAAAAACAAAAACAAAACGUAGAUUUCUUUUAGACCAAAUGGAAAAGGCAACAACUCGAUGGUUGGAAUCUGCUGAAAGAUCCCAAGGCAUUUUGUGGGAGGAAGCAGAGAAAGUACUUGCCUAAUUCUGUUUAAAAAAAAAUUAAAAGUUCAGCUCGCUAUCUAUGCAUGUGGACUUGGAACGAGCAUAUUUUUCUUCUGCAUGAACAGAAAGAUUCUUAGUUUACACUACCUGGGACUCGGCUCUCUGCAUUUCCUUCGGGCACUUCGGGCAAUUGUUUCUUUCUAUGUGUGAAUGAAUUCUGAUCCUUGUGAUCAGUCCGGAGACAAAAGGAGGAAUCUCUGUGGCUUCUGCAUGUAUCCCUGUCGUCAAUGGCAUCUCCAUUAUCACUUCUUUGUGGCUGGGCUUGCCCUCGUUAAACGGAACAGCCCCUUCCUGCUUGGGUCAGACAAGUGCUCCGAAUUCCACCUCCACAUCUAUGCACGGACGGGCCACCCUUUAGAGAUGUUAACAACUACCUGUUGCUCCACAACGAACGUUUUAAAAGCCUCUUUAGAAGAUAGGGGAAGAGAAUCUCCCUCGGCUCUGUUUGUCACAGGAACAGCUGAACGUUUUUGCCACGUUCCGUCGCAUUCUUCUUCUUCUCAGUGACCCGAUCUUUCGAUAGCAGACAUUAUAAGCACUGAGAUUUAUGAGAGUUUCGUUUCUGUGAUAGGAACUGAGCAGUGGGAUAAACAUGUCACAUACUUCAAUGCAAAACACUACUGAGUUUUAAAUUCAAUAAGUUCAACUAAGACAACUGGUAUUGCUUUGGAUCCUUGCACUAAAGUAACGCUUCUCCAAAACACAGAAAUGAGAUACGGCUGUAGAGAGAAGGGAUUGGGAGGUUUGUGUUGGUUAGGGAACUGCAUGUAGAAAUUAACCAGCACACCUGGAUUUUAUUCCCAAAUCAAUUGCUGGCCUCCUGUGUGAUCCCAAGCAAAGCCCUCGAGCUCCCUCUGCCUUGGCUUCCCUAUCUAGAAAUUAAAUCCAGCUUCUCUUGGGGAAUUUUUUGGAUCUUAAGUUAAAAGUACAGCAAAUUAUUAUUUUUGCCUAUUUAUUUGAUUAGGUGUAUAUCAAAGGGAGAGAAAAUGUAAAAAGCAUACGUUGGUUGGUAACAGUAUAAAUUUCAGCUGGCAUUAAAGAGCUAAGGAAAAUUACAAUUUAAGAGUAAAAUGUUUUUCUUUAUUUUGAGACGAUGACUCAAACAAAAGCAAAUCCUCUGCAAAGUCACCCUCAUUGCAAACUAUUAGGUAAUUUCUUUGGAGGAUAAUGAAGGUAGAUGAUAUUCCUCUGACAAUUGCUGAGUCUUCUACAAAUAAAACAAUCUCUUACAUUCCAGUGAUGACCCCCAACAUUGUUGAAGCAAUGUUUCUCAUCUGACCUCUGAAGCUCUCACCUUUAUAACUAUAGAGCCUGUAGAUGAACAUAACACUUACAGAAGAAUGAAAGAUGGAUCUGUCUUCUUAAACUUAGAAUUUAAAGAACUUCAUUCCUGGUUAUUUCCCUUACCGGUGGAAGAAAUUAUACCCAAUAUCAAAGUGUAAAGUAACAAAUACUUUUAAAACCUGUAGGUUUACAAAAACCCAAGCAGAGAAGGAAGCGGGUAUUUCUGCAGCACUGAAGCGGGGGAUUUGUAUGAAGAGAAAGGAUUUCAUUGCCUAGAUUUGAUGGACAUCUGGUUUUGACCAAACUGAUUUGGCCUGUAAGCUUAAUCAUGUGUUCAGGUGAAAGAGAAACACAGAUGAUUAAAUGCUUCCUCAAAAGGUAGUAGCUAAACCGUAGUCUGAAACCCAGGCAAACAGCUGCUCCCUAGGCACUUUUAUCCAAAGCUGAUACACAUUGCAGCCCUGAACAUACAAGCUGUAUUUGACAGAAGUCAGCAACCACACAUACCAAGACAGAAGAAGGAGUAGACUACUUUAUUUGCCUUUGGGAAUGUCUGGAAGAGAGAAAUAAUGACCACCAACUGAGAUCUAGCCACCAGUUUUGAGAACAGAUCUGCAUACCUUUUUGUCAUGAAGGCAAAGCACUUGGGCUGUCUCAACAUUAACACUGUCACAAAGACCUAGAGUAUACUUCUAAAGUGAAUCACCAGUGCUUUUCCCUUGCUGUGAUUUGGUUGACAUCACAGAGUGCAUGCACUUCAUUCCUUCCAGGUUCAUCUAAAUCAUAUGAUCCAUACCAGCUCCAGGACCUUACCUAGACCAGUGGGACUAAAUUACAAUUACAAUUACAACCUAGUCAUGAGGCAGCUCUAGAGUACUUCUCCACAGCACUCCAAGGACCUAAUAGUAGGGGUAACACCAUGGAUUUGAGCUAAAGGUCCACUCCCCCUACCAUGCCAUUUGCAGAUCGUUUUCCAUCAGGUAGAUCACUUUCAGCAGGCCAUUUCCUGGUUGCUCCGAAUUAGGGCCACUGCCCAAAUUUUCUUAACUGUCACACAUACUGAAAACAUGAUUCAUCUGUUCAAAUGUAAGGUAGGUGUAUGCCUAAGAUCAAAUGAAUCAUGUUGUGCCUGUUUUUUUCCAUUAACUAGCUCACAUGUAAUGAAGACCAGCUAAAGCAUGGUGAAACUACUCCCACUGCAUGUGCCUAGUAUCUCCAUUUUUAAGGUAAUAUCUAACAGGUUCGAUCAACACUUUACCUGGAAAGAAAUAGUGAUUCAUUUAAUCAUUCUGCUGACCAGAUUUUUUUUUCCUUUUUUUGUAUUACAAUCAGUGAUUUAAAAAAAAAACAAAAAAAAACAACCCACCACCACCACCAACAACAAUUAACACGUGCAAUUCAUAUAUAAAAGCAGUAAAUCUGGAUUCUUUCUCAGCAGCUGAUAAGGACCUUCCUCAUGAUCUUCACAGAGGUUUAAUUGGCUUUAAUUAGCUACUGAAAUAAUCUCCCAAAGUUUAUAGUGUAUUUUCCCUCAUUGGAAAAUACUAAAUCAAGAUCAUAUCUUUUUUUCCAAAAGGUUUGCUCCAGUUCAAGUAGAGAAGAAUUCCAGAGAAUGCAGAGGGCCAAUGUGCUGCAGAAGGUCACAGUGGCCUAUCACACCCACCCCUUAUUGUUUGCACACUGUUAAUGGGAAUCAGGGUAGCUUUUCUGCAUGAAUGUUGACGUGAUGGAGCAUGGCAGCAGUGGAGGCGGGUGUGAUGAAGUGGGAGGCUCUGCACCCCUGGGAGCAAGCCACACAAAUAGCCUCAUGUGGUUCUUUCCCUGCAGCCCCCAGUGCCCAGCCUGGACAUGUUGGACAGGUGCUGUGGUUUGAGUUGCCCCAGAUAAUGAACUAAGAGUAGUAGCUAUGCUAAACAUGGAGAAGAGUUCAUGUGAAGGCCUGUUUAGGUUAGCUGGGUGCUCUCAGGUCACUUAUGAAAUUAGGUAUUUUGGGCAGAAAGCAAACUGUGGGAAAGCAAAGACGGUAACAGGCAAGCAGAAUAUAACACUGCUGGUAGCUCUUUCUGAUGAGUUCCUCUCAGCUAGGUUUCACAGAUAGCAUGUUUCCCAGAACCUCUGUGCACUUUCUGUAGAGCAGUGCUUCUCAAACUUUCAUUUUGUGCACAGCUAAGCAUUUCACAUUGAAAGCACAAAGCUCACUGUAGCAAAUUUAGGAACAUUAUCAGUAAGCUUGCUUUCUCAGUUGCAGAUUGAACACAAACUCAAAGGAUGAUCAUCACCUUCAGAGGUAUGAAUCAAGGCAUACGAUAAAACAUUUGCCCGAAGAUCAAAAAAACUUAACCUAUAGAAUUUUCUUCAUUCAUUCCAUUUUCCUUUGCCAAUUCUGAUUUUCAGAACCUCCCCCAAAAUAUCACACGUGACAUAAAGACUCAUCAAAGUGUUUUCCCAAGGUAAAGAAAAAUAUUGUCACAUUUUCUCAAAUGCUUUGUUUCGGAUCUCAAAAAGAAAGGUUCUGUUAAUCAAAAUGGAAACUGAGACCCAAGACGUAACAUUUUAUCCUAGCUGGAUCAGCAACAUAGGGAGCAUUUUGCUGUACUAGUCAUAGUCUAGACUCCUAAUGAUGUCAGUGUGAAUGCCGUACAUGGGUCAGCUACAAAAUGAGGUCAUUUUUAAAAGGAGAUGUACUCUCAGAGAAUAUGUCACGAUUUAUAUGUCUUCCAUAAGGCCGUGCCCCAAAUGGUGAGGGGAUGUGCAAAUUUAAAUGCAUUUUAUCUGAAAAAUAAGAAAGGAACUGCAGCAACAGAACUGACUUAAUAGUUCUGUCCUGGUGAAUAAGGAAAGAAAGAGGGCACAUUUUCCUAUAAAUGAACAUGCUAUCCGGAUCAGUACAACGCCAUAAUGCUCUCCACAAGCCUUUAUCCAAUACCCGACAUAACUGUCAGAAUUGUCCUGAUUAAAGAAUUCAUGCUGAUCAAACAGACUGCAUGGUGGUCAGUGCUGAAUUAACUAACUCAGUGCUUCUCAUAUGUCUUCGGACACUUAAGCCUUUUGUAAAAGGGCAAGACCAAGUAGGACAGUAAAAAUUGCAGUAUAAAGGUUAAUUACUCACAUGCCUGUUCAUGCUCACCAUCACUGUUUGAUUCUUGUUCAUCUCCGUACUUGAAUUUGUUUGCCAUUUUCUUUGCUCAGUUCUCAGUGGCUACAUUUGCUCCUUGACAUACUGUUUCACGAUCGAGUACGAAUCACGUAUCACAUAUAUAAUAUCAUUAAUGAUAGCUUAUACAUCUAUAGCACCUUCCACUUACUUGUUUCAAUGUUUUUCACAUGUGCUAACAAACAAAACGUCUCAAUAGCCUUGUGAAGCAAGGAUUGCUCUGUCUGCUUUACAUGUAGGUCAGCCACACUUAGAUAGGUUACAGUUCAUGACUUGCCCAAGGUUACACAGGAAAUGUGUGGCAGAACUCGGAAUGGAAACCAGAUUUCGCGCUCUCCUGCCUUAACAACAAGGUUAUCCUUUCUCUUUGUGAUGCUUUUGGGCAGUUCAUAUGGAUCUACGCAUAUGUUUCAAAUGAAUUAAAUUUCCAUGAACUUACUGUUUUGAACAAAAGCGGAUGAAUAAAUGACAAAGGUCUAAAUUACUGAAAAAUGGCAAAAGCCGCUUGGCGAUUUUCAUACCUGGUCACAGUAGUUGUAUACAUAAAUAGCUCAUUGAUUACAUGCAUAAUUGUAGGAACUGUGCAUGCAAUUUUCUGAAAAUUUAGACCAAAAUGCACAGAAGAGUAACUGGAGAAAAGGGAAAAUAAAAGGUUUAAUGUAAUACACAUGCAUAGUGAGCAUGGGCUUAAGCCAUAAAGGACUCUGUCUUUAAUUGGACCUAGUACCAGUGCCUGCAGCUCACAGAUCUGACAAACUAGCUUAAAAUGCAUGAUGUCUUGCAUUUUCCUCCAUUGACUAAAUAGUGAUUUUUCCUCCCGUGCCACCUACAGGGGUAAGUAUGCUCAUCACUCUAUUUCACAUAAUGUAUUCACUUUUCUUUAAAGCAAAUGUGAUCAGAAAGUCUUGGGAUUCUUAAGACUGUUUUCAAUUUGCCAAAGGCUUGUAAAUUGAAUCCCACUCUGAUCAGGCCUUCAUCAAAUAACAGAAGAACUUGCGUUUAGAAACAAUGCAGUCACAGAAAACUCCCGCAAUUCCUGUUUGAGGGGCAGUUUCACUGAGGGCUGUUCCCUUAGUUAGAAAGUAUAACUAAAGAGUAGGAGCUGUCAAAUAUUCAGGUGGUGUAAGUCAGAGUAACCUGCCUGUGUGCCAAAACAGAGUUAUGGCACUUUACACCAGGAAAAAAUCAGUCCCAUGGUUUUCAAGGUGGCAAAAGACAGUGUUUUCAUUUGCAGAAUCUGAAAUUGUAUAGAACAGAUAGAAGGGCCUGGAGGUCCUCGGUGCCAUACUUUUGCUCUUUUUGCUUCAUCGGGUCCAUUCCUCACUGAUGCGAUAAUGAGAGAAAAAUGUGCUGUUAGUUGAUUCUCAGCAACAUGCUGCAAGUUUAUGAAAAUGAAAAAUCUUUAACAAGAAUUGAAAGGAAAUCAUUGAUUCAUGGAGGGAGCUUCAGCUAACCGUAGAUUAAUUAAAAACUAAUGUAAGAAUGAGCAUGGGUUGAGAGAUGAGAAAAGAUUGAAUUUUGCCAGGAGCAGGGCUGUUACUGGACUCAGGCAUGUGGGUGGAGGAAGAAUAACACCCGGCCAUCUGCAUACAGUGCAAAAAAUCCUGCUGGCAAACACUGAGAUGUUACAAGUCAAAUGCAACUGGCAUAGUGCCAGCAACUGUUCUGGAGAUGCUGUUCAGAAUAAAACAUGCAUGCCUAAUUCCCUGACAUCAUCUGUAUAGGUGUGUUUUUGCCCUGUUCCUAUGGCUAAUGCAAUGAAGGUAAUCAGGCAGCACCAUACAGCCAACUUAUUUUAGGGGUUAUAAUUGGCAUCUCUUGGCACGAGGAAGGAAAAUGCAGAGUUAAAAGUCUGUCUUCAGCUAUGACAGUGGGGGUGACAGGUCCUAGUGCAAUGCCUGCACAUCUCUGUGGCCUGUGCCAUGUCUUUCGUAACAAACCACCUACUCUCAGUCUGUAGUUCUCAAUUUCCUGAUAGCGACUAAGUGUCUUGCAGAUGGGUGGGGGCCAAAGUCCCACUCCUGAAGACUUUCUAAUCUACACCUGAAGUUAUUGUAGUAGUGUAGUAGCGCGUCCCUGGCUGUCUUGAGAAGCAAAGCAGCUGCCCAGCUUCUAAAUUCCCUAUACGCACAGCUACGAAUGGAUAGAGAGCAAGUAGGUAUGGAUCAUGCAUGCCAGGAAAUGAAAUGUUACCAUUUUUUAAAAUGUGGGUUCAUUUUCAUGCUAUAGUGACGGUGGUUUCCCUUUGUGGACUAAACAUAGGUUUUCUUAAUUAUCCAAUUCAUUUAAUUUGUAGAGCAGAGAAUUUUAUGAAGUCGGAUACUGUGGCUGUGUUGGUAAAGCAGUAAUAAUUCAGAGCCACAGCUAUGAAGUGCUAUUUAGUAGUGGUGGGUUUAUACUUUUGGUUAUUGUGUGCGUUUAUUUUUUUAUGGUUUUGUAAUUGUUUAUAUUGGUAACAGUAUGUUUAUGAACACAACCUUAUUGUUGUGUUCAUAUUAAAGAACAAUAUAGUUUGCAGAAAAAUUAUAGGAGAUAUUUUUCUCUAUAACUACUUUGUCAUUCAAACAUAAAUAUAUAAGCUGCUUCUAACAGGAAAAGAGUGAAAUACACUUAUUAAACAAUGUCAAGAAGUUGUAUUUCACAGAGGGGAGUAGAAAUUGUGUAUUCCAGCUUUCACCUGACCAUUUAUGCAAAAGGAAUGAACAGCGAAUCUCCCAGACAGCUCAUAUUACUGGAAAAAUGAAUCAACAUGGGAGUCCAAAGCAGCAAUUUUCUUCUGGACAAGUGGUGACAGAGCUACUAAAACCUCUCUUCUUUUACUCAGCUUCCAUUCAGUGUUGUUAUGCUCAUUCCCGUAGUCCCAGAGCAACACUUCUGUCACUACCUGAGCACAUAGGAACUUGAUUUGUAGAUUUGGAAUGCUCAGUGGAAUGUCCUCUCAUUCCAGAGAACCCAGUAAAUGUCUCUUAUUCCAGCCCAUUAAUCUAUUCAUUAUUUUUUAACUAAUAUUCCAACUUUGUUAUUUUUUCACAGAAUCAUAGGAUGGCUGAGGUUGGAAGGGACCUCUGGAGGUCAUAUUGUCCAAUCUGCUUGUUCAAGUAGGGUCACCUACAGCACACUGCACAAUAUACGUCCAGAUGACUUGUAAAUAUCACCAAGAACAGAGAGUCCACAACUUCUUAGGUCAGCCCACGCCAGUGCUCUGUACUGAAUCCUUGACAGGUCCAGCAAAAAAAAAAAAAUCAGGUUUUCUUUUCAAAUCUUUGCAACCUGUUACUUACACAUAAAUAUAUGCAACAUAAAUAUCACAGGGAAAUUACAGGUUACACAUCUAGAGGUAAGAGAUUAAAAAUCUUCUAAAAUGUAGCACACAUCCUUAUGAAAACUGCUCUGAUCCAAAAUACCGUUCAUUAGCUGCCAAGAAGAGAUAUGACACUGGACCCAGAAGAUACCUAUCCAGGCAGCGCGCUCCUAACCUGAACAGUCCUGCUCUAAUGGCUCAGCUGCUCCAGUGCGUGAGGACUCACUUCCAGAUAGCUCAGGUUUCCUCAUGCAAUACCCCACUGCAGGCAUUCUCUUUGGUAUCUGUAAAAGCAUCUUUCUUUACUAACUGGUAAGGAGUCUUUUGGAAUGCUAAAGAGUUACACUAACAUUUAAUCAGUGCCCAACUGCAGUGUUUCUCCUCCUUGUAUUGUAAGGAGCUAGGAUUAGGGUUCUCAGAGAAUGUUUUGGAGAGUAACAGAAUGGUGGGAAAAUGACCAAAAACAUGGAAUUUUGUGUGAUCAUUUCAACUUGGUGGGACAGAGAAAGAGCUACCUUAACUAGAACAGAUAAGGUGCUAUCAGCACUUUUGUUACUGGAAUGAAUGGAGGCAGAAGUCUGCAAAUGAAAUAACCCAAACCAUCCACCGCAAGCAUAAAGUGUGGCGUAAGUGCAAUGGGUUUGCAUUUCCAUGCUUUGACUUUUUUUUUUACUUUGACAGAUUCUGGAAUGCUUUGUCACCUAUUUAGUUCUUUAAAGAUAGCUUUUAAAACACAAAAUGUCAGUCUGGAAGUGACUAUUGAAGCUGUAAAAAUUUUCAGAAAAUUCCACUCUUUUUUUGGUUUAACAGCCAUAGAGCUCUGGCAACAAUUAUUUUUGGUGGUGGUCAAAAGGAAGUGACAUCAUCCACUAAAAACAACAAAAAAAAUCAA
ensembl:lncRNA